AAAUCAUGUGGCGGGCCAGAUCUGGCCCCCGGGCCUUGAGUUUGUCACCUCUGUUCUAUAUGAAAACAAAAGGGUUCAAUGAAGGCUGCCAGGGGCAAUGCGGUUUAGAAAUUGCGCACCUCUGUCCAAGAAAAAGAAAAGCCACUGAAGGUGAAGAAAGCAUGCUUUAAUUGUUUGACAUUAAGUUGAGUGAAAGUGAAGUACAAAAAAAAAGUUUGAUGUCAGGAAAAAGUAAACAGUCAUUUUUUAUUAUGACCGUAUUUCUUUAUGCGGUA